rnacentral:lncRNA from 1 species
UUGGGUUUUUGGGUUGGUCUAAGCCCACAUAUCUCAAGUCCUAGAUAGGUCGGAUAUUGAUCUCGAUUUGGGUGGUGUGUUUGAGAGAGGAAUUGAAUUUAUUAUGAUAUUUGAUUGAUGUGGGGGUCAAGAUAUCCUUGCUUAAAAUGUGAAUCGAUUUUUUGUUUGCAAUCAUUCUACUCCUCGGAUUUUGUAUUAUAAAGUGUGAAACUUUUUGUGUUCCUUCUUCUUUAUUUACUUUUUUUCUUCUGUUUUCUCUUGCUUCUCUGAGUUGUUUUCUUUUCUUUUUUUGGCUGUCGAUACUCUUUUUGAUGUUUCCCAUUAAGCUCCAAUGGCGUCUCUCAUGUUGGUAAGGAUUUGACCAAUUUUGACUCAUUUGUUUUUGUCGGUCGUAGUUUCUAAUUGUUUGUCGGAUAACGAUGACUUGUCCAUCGCCCGCUGUUUCUCUGCUGGUGUUGAGAUCUCGGAACCCCAACUUGUGAAGCAACAAAUCCUAGUGUGUGUGUGUGUCUAGCCUCUUGCAGUAGCUUCCUCCCGGCAUAUGUAGUGAAUUGCUUAUCUUCAAUCAUAUAUCAAAUAAAUAAGUUUCAGUUUUUUUCUACUAGAUUUAGCAGAACCGUAUAGGUUGAAGACUCUUAAGUGAGAUAUUGACUUGCAUGAUAAAGUGGGGUGAUUGGUUGGAAUUUAACAAGUGACUGUUUAAAUUUUUUAGAUUUAAUUUCUAUCUACAACUAUAUAAAUUACCAAUCAUGCUUAAAUAGUGGUUAAACC